rnacentral:rRNA from 1 species
UGGGGAAUAUUGCACAAUGGGCGCAAGCCUGAUGCAGCGACGCCGCGUGAGGGAUGACGGCCUUCGGGUUGUAAACCUCUUUCAGCAUCGACGAAGCGCAAGUGACGGUAGAUGCAGAAGAAGCACCGGCCAACUACGUGCCAGCAGCCGCGGUAAUACGUAGGGUGCGAGCGUUGUCCGGAAUUACUGGGCGUAAAGAGCUCGUAGGUGGUUUGCCGCGUUGUUCGUGAAAACUCACAGCUUAACUGUGGGCGUGCGGGCGAUACGGGCAGACUGGAGUACUGCAGGGGGAGACUGGAAUUCCUGGUGUAGCGGUGGAAUGCGCAGAUAUCAGGAGGAACACCGGUGGCGAAGGCGGGUCUCUGGGCAGUAACUGACGCUGAGGAGCGAAAGCGUGGGGAGCGAACAGGAUUAGAUACC